UUUAGGGGGGUUCGAAUUGUCCGUCGUUGUCCUUAGACUUAAGCCGUAGCAAAGCUAAAGUUGUAGAAACAGCUUUUAGAUAUUUAAUUUAAAUUAAACUAUUUAUAUAGAUAGAUUUUAAAAUAUUUUUUUAAAAAUGCAAUAGAAAUCAAUGUACCUUUGGCAUCAUGGAUUUUUAAUAUUAAUGCUUAAAUAAUAAUCUUGGAGCAAUUUUAUUUUUAUAUAUAAUUAUAUGGUGAUAUUCCUAUAAUUAAUUUAUAAAAUAAAAAGAUAUUUUAUGUAAAUUGUUUUUAGUACACUAAUUGUUAAAUUAUUUUUAAUAGGAAAGCUAUUAAAAGAUUUUUAAACUUUAUUAAUUAAUGAUUUAAGGAUUAAAAUUGUCUUAUAUUAAUAUAUUUAAUAAGUAGGUUUUAUACAAAUUUUUAUUGAAAUCUUAAUUUUAUAAUGAAAAUAUUAGUAGCAAUAGCAGUAACAAAUAAAAAAAUUAAAACACUUUUAAGUUUUAUUUAUAAAAAUAAAUAAUUAGACCUCAAGAUUUUCUGGACUGUUUAUUAAAAACAUUACUAGGAAACCUAGCAACCCUUGCUCAGUGCUAAUUAGUAAACAGCCGUUUGCGCUUAGGUAGCAUAAUAAUUUGUAGUUUGAUUGACUACUUGAAUGAAUAGGGACACCAUGAAAUAGAGUAUUUAUUUAAAAAACGAAAUUAUUUUUUUAAUGAAAAUAUUAAAAUGCUUUUUUUAGACGAGAAGACCCUAGAAUUUUUCUAUAUUAAUUGGGGUAAUUAAGUUUAAAUUUAAACUUUAUAUAUCUAUCCAGAAAAGACCCUAAUAAGUUUACUAAAAAUACUCUAGGGAUAACAGCUUAAUUUUUUAUUGGAGUUCUAAUCUAAUAAAAAGUUUAUGACCUCGAUGUUGAAUAAAAUUUAUAUUAAAAGCAGCAUUUUAAUAUUAGCGGACUGUUCGUCCUUUAAAAUUUUACUUGAUUUGAGUUGAGAUCGACGUGAGUCAGAUUGGAUUCUAUCUAAAAAUUAAAUUAAAUUAAGUAGUACGAAAGGACCCUUAAUUAAAUAUUAUAU
rnacentral:rRNA from 1 species